UAGAAAAGAUCAAAAAUAGGUAAAAGAAAGUUUCUUUAUAUAAGCUAGUUACAUAAAUAUAUGAUUAAUUACUAAUGUCUAAUACUACCUUAACAUAUGAUUAAGAGUAAACUGCCAUUUUGGUCCCUAAGGUUUGAAAGAGUAAAAAAGAAAUGGUCCAUUUAUAAAUGAAGUAUGUAAUCAUACCAUAAAUAGAAAUAAUAUAAAAUAUUGAGGUUGAAAAACAAUAUAAAGAACUUAAGACAGUAGGCCAAUAGUAAUAUAUAAACUAGAAAGAGUCAAAAAGAAAUGGUCCAUUUGUGAAAAUGAAGGAUUAAAUCAUACCAUAAAUAAAAAAUAAUAUAAAAUAUUGAGGUUGUAAAACAAUAUAAAGGACUUAAGAGUUAAGACAGUAGGCCAGUAGGGUUUGGAUGUGCCUUUUGCAAGUGAUAGUGUUUGGCAAAAUCUAACUAUACAAACAUUCU
rnacentral:lncRNA from 1 species